rnacentral:rRNA from 1 species
CAGCCGCCGCGGGAAUACAGAGGGUGCGAGCGUUAAUCGGAUUUACUGGGCGUAAAGCGUGCGUAGGCGGCUUCUUAAGUCGGAUGUGAAAUCCCUGAGCUUAACUUAGGAAUUGCAUUCGAUACUGGGAAGCUAGAGUAUGGGAGAGGAUGGUAGAAUUCCAGGUGUAGCGGUGAAAUGCGUAGAGAUCUGGAGGAAUACCGAUGGCGAAGGCAGCCAUCUGGCCUAAUACUGACGCUGAGGUACGAAAGCAUGGGGAGCAAACAGGAUUAGAUACCCGCGUAGUCCCUGUCUCUUAUUA